rnacentral:rRNA from 1 species
UACGUAGGGUGCAAGCGUUUGUCCGGAAUUAUUGGGCGUAAAGAGCUCGUAGGCGGUUUGUUGCGUCGGCUGUGAAAUCCCGAGGCUCAACCUCGGGUCUGCAGUCGAUACGAGCAAACUAGAGUGUUGCAGGGGAGACUGGAAUUCCUGGUGUAGCGGUGAAAUGCGCAGAUAUCAGGAGGAACACCGAUGGCGAAGGCAGGUCUCUGGGCAUUAACUGACGCUGGAGGAGCGAAAGCAUGGGGAGCGAACAGG